rnacentral:tRNA from 1 species
GUGAGCGUGGCCGAACGGAUAAGGCAUCCGGCUACGGACCGGAAGAUUGGGGGUUCAAAUCCUCUCGCACAAA